UAGGGAAUAUUGCAAAAUGGGCGAAAGCCCGAUGCAGCAACGCCGCGUGGGCGAUGAAGGCCUUCGGGUCGUAAAGCCCUUUUUGAGGGGAUGAGGAAGGACAGUACCCUCAGAAUAAGCCUCGGCUAACUACGUGCCAGCAGCCGCGGUAAAACGUAGGAGGCGAGCGUUAUCCGGAUUUACUGGGCGUAAAGCGCGUGCAGGCGGAUUGGAGAGUUGGAUGUGAAAGCUCCCGGCUUAACUGGGAGAGGUCGUUCAAUACUUCCAGUCUUGAGUGCGGUAGAGGGCAGUGGAAUUCCGGGUGUAGUGGUGAAAUGCGUAGAUAUCCGGAGGAACACCAGUGGCGAAAGCGGCUUCCUGGACUGUAACUGACGCUCAGACGCGAAAGCUAGGG
rnacentral:rRNA from 1 species